GCGCUCUGUUGGUCGCCAUCUUGUAAGACGCUUCGCUCUGGCGUGUAGUUGUGUGUGCAACGCUUUUCUCUUUCUAAUUUUGGGUUUUUAACAUUAUUCAUCGAAUUUAUUUCUAUUGGCGUUUAGCAAAAAGAGAUUGCCGCCAUGAUGAAGACAGAGGAGUCUCAAAUGCAAAAUAACGAUGACAGAGAUCGCAGCAGAGAACGUGAUAGAAACAGAAGGUCAGAUAGGCAGAAUCGGAUGAAUUCUGGUAGUCGUGACCGUAGUAGGGAACGCAAUGACCGUGUUGGGGGUGGCAGAAAAGUAUCCGAUCGUCGCAUUUACGUGUCGAAUAUUCCUUAUGACUUCCGAUGGCAAGAUCUGAAGGACCUCUUCAGAACGGAAGUUGGCAAAGUUGCACAUGUUGAGCUUUUUACAGACGAGAAUGACAAGCCUAGAGGGUGUGGUAUUGUCGAAUUUGAGGACUCUGAUUCUGUCAAAAUAGCUGUGGACAAAAUGCAUCGAUUUGAUAUCAAAGGACGAAAACUUGUAGUAAAAGAAGAUUAUGACGCUGAACGUGACAAGUAUGGUCGCGUUGCAAGAAAUAAUGAUAGAGUGCGUGAUGAAAGGUUCAGAGAACCACCACGGCCAACUGGUGGUCGACAGAAUAUGCCAACUCCUCCGGUUGGUAAUGGCGAUAACAAAUUUGGCAACACAUACGGACUUAGCACACAAUUUCUGGAGUCCCUUGGUAUUACUGGCCCAUUGGUUACUAGAGUUUUCGUAGCAAACUUAGACUACAAAGUGGACGAGAAGAAGCUUCUUGAAGUGUUUAAGUUAGCUGGAAAAGUGCUGCAUGUCGAACUGGGCAAAGAUAAGGAUGGAAAGUCACGUGGCUUCGGUGUUGUUGAAUACGAUCAUCCAGUAGAAUCAGUUCAGGCAAUUUCAAUGCUUCACAAUCAGCAACUCUUUGAUCGACGAAUGACUGUACGUCUUGACAGAGCAAACGAACCAGACAUGCCACCAAAAUUGCCUGAAGGCCUAAAGGGUAUCGGUAUGGGACUUGGAGCUGGUGGAAACAGACUGAUGGAUGUCGCAAGAAAUAUUCCAAACGUACAACCAAAUAAUCCACCGGUAGUGAAUUCUAUUUCGGCACCGGUUCUAGCCACAGGUGCUUUUGGCGCCGGAUUAAACAGUGUCGUACCUGCGCAAUUAGCAUCAGCGCUAUCAGGCUCAAACGCAGCAGCACUUCAAGCCAGCCUAGCUGGUGGUUUAGGUGCAAACCUAACGACGAAUUCUCUUUUGAAUUCAUCCCUUACAAACGAAUUAGCCUCCAAUCUAAACAAUUUCGGGGGUGGAGUUGGUGGGUUAUCAAGUCUCCAAGCGUCACUCGCGGGUGGACAAGGAAACAACUCCUUCGCGCCCCGAGGACUAGGAAAAAUGGACAAUGACGUAGGAUUCGGGGGUAAUAAUGCGUUCGGAGGUUCGAGUUACGGUGGCGGUCGUGAUUUCGAUGGAGGUUUUAACAGAAAUGAUGGCGGAGAUAGAAUUUCCGGUGGUAAUGGUGGCUUCGCCGGAAAUCAAGGACAGUCUGGCGGAGGUAACAGACAAAACAGUAAUGGCGGUCGGCCAUCGUCUGACACCAUUCUUAUAGGAAAUCUUCCUCCGAGCACAACGUGGCAAAUGUUACGUGACAAAUUCCAAGACGUCGGCGAAGUAAAGUUUGCUGAAAUGAGGGGAUCGGACAUGGGAAUGGUACGAUUUGCAUCAGAAUGGGACGCGGAGCGUGCUGUUGCAAUGAUGAAUCGAUCGCGCAUCGAUGGCAGGACGAUCGACGUUCGUAUUUACUAGAUGCACAAACUACAGCUCGAAGUUAAGAUUUACGUCGUUGCAGUUUAACGGAAACUCGGAGUGAGCCCAAAAUACAAAAAUUUGGCCUAUCAGAGGUAAGCACGUAUCGUUUGGGAAUAUUGUUUUUCAUAAAAUUUAUAUUUCCAGGAUCAACGAAAGAUCUUAGUUGACUCUUCGUCGGUAAGUAUGGCAUUGAGUAUUCACGUGUGGAUACGGCAUUAGAGUCAUAUCACUGUUCAAACUACGAAGGUAUAUUUAGGAUGCUCAAACGACAAUAAAGAUAAUUAAUGCAACUGUCUCUCUUCGUCACACCUGUAUUUCCACAGUCUUGUUUUAUUAUAAAACAGUACAGGCUAAUGAUACGUUAUGUAUGUUAACUUUUGUGAGAAAAAAAAAAGAAAACGAUUUUCAACAAUGGCGACAUGCAGACGUUCCAACGUCAGAUUAAACGCUCGAUGUUACAUAUCCUGUGUGGUUUAAUAACUAAAAAUAAUUAGCAAACUUUUUUUCUCCUAGAACCGAACUCGAUGCAUGUGAACUCGUGUCGAGUAAAAAUAUCCUUUAAACAAAUGGCGAGCAAAGUCAAGCACUAGAAAAAGAAGGAAAAAUGAAGGUAUAAAAGUUUUUCGCAAAAACAGAAGCACGUUACCCGAGGAACAUCUUGCGUUAUCACGUAUGUGUGUGAGCAACAUGCGCGCAUCGCGCGCGACAAAAGGCAACAGCGCUGCACCGCUCUGAACAAAUAUACAGUUUGACACGCUGUAUAUCUUAUGAAAUUAUAAUUCAUGUACCGAGCAACCAAUUUACACCAGUAUUUUUGCAUGCACGUUCUUAAAAUUGAUUAAGGUAUCUUUAAAUCAAUCAGUUCUUUCAUGUAUAAGUUAGUUAAUUUCUAAACAUAACAAAUAUUUCAUAAUCACACCACGUUACUGGUAAACCAAUGACGAUUUUCACGGAUAAGAUACUCUCUGAACCAACAUGUGUCUCUUGAACAGCAGCAUUUUCGAAAAUCAACUACUUUAUUAUAAAACCGAUAAUAACGUCUUUCUACACUAAAAAAAACCCUUUCUUUAAGGAA